GACGAACGCUGGCGGCGUGCUUAACACAUGCAAGUCGAACGGAAAGGCCCUGCUUUUGUGGGGUGCUCGAGUGGCGAACGGGUGAGUAACACGUGAGUAACCUGCCCUUGACUUUGGGAUAACUUCAGGAAACUGGGGCUAAUACCGGAUAGGAGCUCCUGCUGCAUGGUGGGGGUUGGAAAGUUUCGGCGGUUGGGGAUGGACUCGCGGCUUAUCAGCUUGUUGGUGGGGUAGUGGCUUACCAAGGCUUUGACGGAUAGCCGGCCUGAGAGGGUGACCGGCCACAUUGGGACUGAGAUACGGCCCAGACGCCUACGGGAGGCAGCAGUGGAGAAUAUUGCACAAUGGGCGGAAGCCUGAUGCAGCAACGCCGCGUGCGGGAUGACGGCCUUCGGGUUGUAAACCGCUUUAGCCUGUGACGAAGCGUGAGUGACGGUAAUGGGUAAAGAAGCACCGGCUAACUACGUG
rnacentral:rRNA from 1 species